rnacentral:rRNA from 1 species
CUGGCGGCAGGCUUAACACAUGCAAGUCGAGCGGUAGCACAGGGGAGCUUGCUCCCCGGGUGACGAGCGGCGGACGGGUGAGUAAUGUCUGGGAAACUGCCUGAUGGAGGGGGAUAACUACUGGAAACGGUAGCUAAUACCGCAUAACGUCGCAAGACCAAGGAGGGGGACCUUCGGGCCUCUUGCCAUCAGAUGUGCCCAGAUGGGAUUAGCUAGUAGGUGGGGUAAUGGCUCACCUACGCGACGAUCCCUAGCUGGUCUGAGAGGAUGACCAACCACACUGGAACUGAGACACGGUCCAGACUCCUACGGGAGGAGCAGUGGGGAAUAUUGCACAAUGGGCGCAAGCCUGAUGCAGCCAUGCCGCGUGUGUGAAGAAGGCCUUCGGGUUGUAAAGCACUUUCAGCGAGGAGGAAGGUGGUGAACUUAAUACGUUCAUCAAUUGACGUUACUCGCAGAAGAAGCACCGGCUAACUCCGUGCCAGCAGCCGCGGUAAUACGGAGGGUGCAAGCGUUAAUCGG